CCUAUGGGAGGCAGCAGUGGGGAAUAUUGCACAAUGGGGGAAACCCUGAUGCAGCAACGCCGCGUGGGUGAAGGAGCGUUUCGGCGCGUAAAGCCCUGUCAGCGGGGAAGAAGAAAGACGGUACCCGACCAAGAAGCCCCGGCUAACUACGUGCCAGCAGCCGCGGUAAUACGUAGGGGGCGAGCGUUAUCCGGAUUUACUGGGUGUAAAGGGAGCGUAGACGGCAGCACAAGUCUGGAGUGAAAUCCCGGGGCUUAACCCCGGAACUGCUUUGGAAACUGUGCGGCUGGAGUGCAGGAGGGGUA
rnacentral:rRNA from 1 species